AGUCGAACGGCAGCGCGGGGCAACCUGGCGGCGAGUGGCGAACGGGUGAGUAAUAUAUCGGAACGUACCCAAGAGUGGGGGAUAACGUAGCGAAAGUUACGCUAAUACCGCAUACGAUCUAAGGAUGAAAGUGGGGGAUCGCAAGACCUCAUGCUCCUGGAGCGGCCGAUAUCUGAUUAGCUAGUUGGUGAGGUAAAGGCUCACCAAGGCGACGAUCAGUAGCUGGUCUGAGAGGACGACCAGCCACACUGGAACUGAGACACGGUCCAGACUCCUACGGGAGGCAGCAGUGGGGAAUUUUGGACAAUGGGCGCAAGCCUGAUCCAGCAAUGCCGCGUGAGUGAAGAAGGCCUUCGGGUUGUAAAGCUCUUUUGUCAGGGAAGAAACGGCCUGGGUUAAUACCUUGGGCUAAUGACGGUACCUGAAGAAUAAGCACCGGCUAACUACGUGCCAGCAGCCGCGGUAAUACGUAGGGUGCAAGCGUUAAUCGGAAUUACUGGGCGUAAAGCGUGCGCAGGCGGUUUUGUAAGUCUGUCGUGAAAGCCCCGGGCUCAACCUGGGAAUUGCGAUGGAGACUGCAAGGCUUGAAUCUGGCAGAGGGGGGUAGAAUUCCACGUGUAGCANUGAAAUGCGUAGAGAUGUGGAGGAACACCGAUGGCGAAGGCAGCCCCCUGGGUCAAGAUUGACGCUCAUGCACGAAAGCGUGGGGAGCAAACAGGAUUAGAUACCCUGGUAGUCCACGCCCUAAACGAUGUCUACUAGUUGUCGGGUUUUAAUUAACUUGGUAACGCAGCUAACGCGUGAAGUAGACCGCCUGGGGAGUACGGUCGCAAGAUUAAAACUCAAAGGAAUUGAC
rnacentral:rRNA from 1 species